UACGAAGGGGGCUAGCGUUGCUCGGAAUCACUGGGCGUAAAGGGUGCGUAGGCGGGUCUUUAAGUCAGGGGGUGAAAUCCUGGAGCUCAACUCCAGAACUGCCUUUGAUACUGAAGAUCUUGAGUUCGGGGAGAGGUGAGUGGAACUGCGAGUGUAGAGGUGAAAAUUCGUAGAUAUCGCAAGAACACCAGUGGCGGAAGGCGGCUCACUGGCCCG
rnacentral:rRNA from 1 species